CGCGGGGUCUGGCUCCCCUGGUCGCUGCCCAGGAUAAACGCCCGCGGCCAGCCCGCCGUGUGCGCGCUCUGCACGCGGGAGGAUCCAGGUCCGCACCCCCGGGGCCCCGGGGCCCUGCCUGAGAAGGGGCAGCCAGGUAUGGCCCAGGUGCCCCCGAGGCAGGUCCAGGGAGCAGCCCAGUGGGGAGGCCGGUCACCAGGGGCCACCACAAAGCCACCUUCAGACCCAGUUCCUACACCAUCCUCAAGACACCACUGCACAGCGCCAGGCCCGUGUACACCACCCCACACCAGGUACACGAACCAGGUCUGUCUACACCACCCGCAAGAACCAGGUCCGUCUCCACCACCCCACACCAGGUGCAGGAACCAAGUCCAUCCACACCACCCCACCCCAGGUGCAGGAACCAGGUCCAUCCACACCACCCCACACCAGGCUGGUCCACAGCACCCACCCCACCAUCUACACCGCAUGCUGUGUGCACACGUCACCUGCACCACCACCCCUCCUGGCUGCACACGACCCAGGGCUAGUCCUGUACCUUCCCUCUCUGGCCACCAGGGUCGCUGAGGAGCUGGCACCCAGGGCCUGGGUAAACUGGAUCUUGCUGCCUCUGCCAGGGCCGGGUCUCAGGGGUGGACAGGGCCUGUGGCCAGGCCAGGCGGGGCUCCCUGGGACCUCGUGUGUGUGUCCUGUGCCUCCCCCAGGGAAAACCACACUGAUCCGGGCCCUGACGGGUGACGAGGCCGCGCAGCCUCGGGACCAGCUGUUUGCCACACUGGACAUCACGGCCCAUGCAGGAUCCCUGCCCUCGCGCAUGACCGUCCUCUACAUGGACACCAUCGGCUUCCUCUCCCAGCUGCCCCACGGCCUGAUCGAGUCCUUCUCUGCCACCCUGGAGGAUGUGGCCCACUCGGUGAGUUGGGUGGCCCUGUGGACAAGACCCCAUAGACAAGCCCUGGGGGCCAGGCCCCUCCGUAGGACAUGAUCCUCCAGCUCCAGCAGGAGUCCCUGGGCCUCCCCAGGGGACAGAAACCACAGGAGUCCAGCUCCCCCAGCCCUGGAGGGCAGAGGCUGGACCAGGGGUCACAGGCUCCAGGGAGGCUCCUCCUACCUGUCCAGCUCCUGGGGCCCAGGCGCGGAGGUGAGCGGACGGGCAGUGUGACUGGUGGCGCAGCCAGGAACCUCCCAUGCAAACCGUCUCGCGGUCCAGCCCCGACGGGGUGGACUGUCCCCACCCGUGGGCCACGCUUCUCCUGGAGAAGUUGCAGAAGUCACAAUGACCUCACGGAGGCCCAGGCUGUGCGUGGGGGCCAGGGCAGGGCGCCGGCCAGCCUCCACGGGCAGCUCCUCGUUCUGGGGCCCGGGAGGCCAGGCCAGCCACUGGAGACGGGGUGCUGGCGGGCGGUGGCAGGACCCAGGCACAGGAACUAGGAAGCCUGUGUCCACCUCGGACAUGUCCUGGCCUCCAGCAGCCCUGUCUUGGGGGUCAGGGCCACCCCCACUGCCACCUUCCUAGGCGGUGGUGCCCUCGAGCCCCUCCUGGGCCUCCCACAGGCAGGUGAGCACGACCCCGGAGCCCCGUCCCCAGCCUGUUUUGUGUUUUAUUAGAGACUGGGUCUCCUUGAGCUGCUUAGGGCCUCACCUUUACCCCCUGACCAUGUGGCCUGUCCACAGGCAGCUGGGGACGGCAGCCCUGCAGCCCCCUGACCAUGUGGCCUAUCCACAAGCAGGUGGGGACAGCAGUCCCCUGACCAUGUACCUGUCCACAGGCAGCUGGGGACGGCAGCCCUGCAGCCCCCUGACCAUGUACCUGUCCACAGGCCGGUGGGGACGGCAGCCCCCUGACCAUGUGGCCUGUCCACAGGCAGGUGGGGAUGGAAGUCCCCUGACCCGUGGCCUCCCUGUCCACCAGGAUCUCAUUGUGCACGUGAGAGACGUCAGCCACCCCGAGACGGAGCUGCAGAAAGUCAGCGUCCUGUCUGCCCUGCAGGGCCUGGGCCUGCCCGCCCCUCUGCUGGACUCCGUGGUCGAAGUGCACAACAAGGUGGAUCUGGUUCCGGGGUGAGUGGGCCGCGCUGCACCCACAGGCUUCUCCUUCCCUGGGCAUCCCCAUCGGGGAGGGUCGGGGUGGACUGUGGCUUUCCCACGAGGGACAGACGUGUCCAUCUCCCAGUGCUGCUAAGGGCCAUUGGCAUCCAGCCUCCCUGUGACAUUGGUGGCAGUGGCCUUUCCUGUUGAAGUGACUUGGUCCCACGAGGAGCACCCAGAGCACCCAGGCUGGGCCCCUUGGGUGGGACCUCACCUCUGCAGCUGCCCCAGGGCUGACCGGUGUGCUGGCCUCUCUCAGGUACCGUCCCCCAGACCCGAGCGCAGUGGCCGUGUCCGCCCUCCUGGGACAGGGGCUGGAGGAGCUGAGGGUGGGGCUGGAGGAGGCCGUGCUGAGGGCCACCGGGAGGCAGGUGCUCACCCUGCACAUCAAGCUGGCCGGGCCGCAGCUCAGGUGAGGGACCCAGACCCGGGUCUGCCCCCGGACGGCGGUGGGCCUGGGCCUUGCAGCAUGGCCACCUUUAGCUGCCUCCGUGCACAGAGGGUGGGUAGUGGGCGUGGAAGUCCAUGCUGAUGCUGGCAUGUGCAUACACCAGGUGCUUAAGCUGUGCUCGCUCAUGUUGCAGGGCUGCACGUCCUGUCCACCUCCAGUGUGCCCGGGCCUCCAGCAGCCCUCUCCUGGGGGCGGAAGGAGCCGCUCCCACCACCACCUUCCGGGGCUGGGGAGCGCUGUGGGCAGCGGGGAGAGGUGGGCUGGGCUUCAGAGACGGCCACGCCCUGACGGGCCUCUCUGCCCCCAGCUGGCUUUACGAGGAGGCCACGGUGCAGCAGGUGGACGUGCUGCCUGAGGCCGGGGCAGCCCACGUGAAGGUCAUCAUCAGCAACUCGGCCUAUGGCAAGUUCCGGAAGCUCUUCCCAGGAUGAACUCGCCUGCGCUGGGCACUGUGUGGCUUCCGAACUGGAAACAAGUGGCCGCGGCCUCGCUGGCUGCACCCCCACCCCGCCCACGGCCGAGCAGGGCCGGCGGUCGGCCCAGCCUGCACCCCUCCCGCAGCUGGUCAGCCUGUGGUGUCCCUGCUGCUAUUAAAGUCCAUGUCAGGUGUGCGAACAGC
rnacentral:lncRNA from 1 species